GGUAGCAGCUCAGUGGUAGAGCAUGUGCUUAGCAUGCACAAGGUCCUGGGUUCAUUCACAGUGCCACCA
rnacentral:tRNA from 1 species